rnacentral:rRNA from 1 species
AUUGAACGCUGGCGGCAUGCCUUACACAUGCAAGUCGAACGGCAGCACGGGUGCUUGCACCUGGUGGCGAGUGGCGAACGGGUGAGUAAUACAUCGGAACGUACCUUAUCGUGGGGGAUAACGCAGCGAAAGCCGUGCUAAUACCGCAUACGCCCUGAGGGGGAAAGCGGGGGAUCGCAAGACCUCGCGCGAUUAGAGCGGCCGAUGCCUGAUUAGCUAGUUGGUGGGGUAAAAGCCCACCAAGGCGACGAUCAGUAGCUGGUCUGAGAGGACGAUCAGCCAAACUGGGACUGAGACACGGCCCAGACUCCUACGGGAGGCAGGAGUGGGGAAUUUUGGACAAUGGGGGCAACCCUGAUCCAGCAAUGCCGCGUGAGUGAAGAAGGCCUUCGGGUUGUAAAGCUCUUUUGUCAGGGAAGAAACACCGGCUCUAACACAGUCCGGGAAUGACGGUACCUGAAGAAUAAGCACCGGCUAACUACGUGCCAGCCGCCGCCGUAA